AGCAGCAUUUUGGUUCAGUAAUUAGUUUGACCUGUAGGUCUCCUCAAAAGUCACCACAAAUGAGCUCCUCAGUAAGAAAAUGGAUGGACUCACGCUUCAAGCAGAUACAUUUGCCACUUCAGCAGAUGUCCAAGGAACACUCAACUUGCCUGACAGUCCUUGAAUUAUAAUUCUUGGUCAAACUCUAAGCAACCAGCAGUGGAUGGUGAGCAUUGAAGGUCACGUUGUAUGUGAGGGAACACAACUCAGCUUUGUCUGUGGCCGUACUGCUGUGUUUGCUUCAUGUGUGGACACUUUUUCUUUGGUGUUGUUUCUUGUGACUGAAGACAGAGAAAGCAAAAUUAAAGUUAGAAAUAUUCUUUAUUCAUACACACCAGGCAGAGGUUAAAUGACAGAGAAACACAGCCCUAGGAUCUGCACCGAGGGGCCCGUGUCCCCCAUUCAUAUAGGGCUUUAAGACUUUAGUUACAUAAGCAUUAUCAAAUAAUCUAAGAGUGGAGUACAUCUGUUGGGGCCUGAUGAGUCCACACCCGUUAGACGCCCAAGAAGUAGCACUUGUUUUCAUACACUGUAAGCAUGCGGGGUCUGCAGGACUCCUACCACACACCCCAUAGAACAUGCUUUCUGUCACGUACAUCAGAUUUGUCAAGCACAAGUUAUUGACCUGAAUUUUUUAUUUUUCCACACAUGUUAUAAUUUCAACCUCCAAUAUAGGAAGAAACUGCAAGCACCCUUGAUUUUGUUCAAAGGUAAAACAUUGGCUUAUUUUCCAUACAUACAUUUUCAUUAAAACUGACUUACACUUCCAUCAGACUUUAUUACACAGCCUGUAAAACGUUUGCACACUCCUCUUAGACACACAGUAAGCUUAUUCUCCUUCUCAUACCCUAUUAAAUUUUUGUGACACACUAUUACCCACCCUGACACACACCAUGAUAUUUUUUCUAUAAAUUAAAUUGGUUAAAAGUAAAUAUUGGCAAAUUCAGUUAUGUACUUGAAUCUCUUUAAG